rnacentral:lncRNA from 1 species
AUAUGUUCAAGUGUCAAAAUCCGACAUAUCCAGAUCAUACGGUAAAAAAAAUAAUGACUUAUUCAUAUUAGAUUUAUGUAUAUUUCAUACUAUUAAACAAGACUUAUGCUUUUCAACAAACAAAAGUAUUACAAAAUGUUGUGCAAGGUCGCUAAAAUUAAAUACCAAAAAUAAAACCAAAUAUAUACAAACAACGCACAGAAAUCCAAAUACUGAUUUACACCAUAGGGAAACCUAUGGUGAUGCCAGUGAUAAUCAGAGUACAUGUAUGUGCAAGGUUAUAAACGAACACAAUAUUGCCGUUCUGACUACCGUAAAGACUAAUGGAGCAGGUUCUUGUGAACUUAUUCGAUAAGAUUUUCUGUAAAAAACAGAACCCGGAACAUGAGAAGAAUUUGCUUACUUUAGGUAGAAAUAAACAGUUAGGAAAAAAUAUUAAAAUUUGCUCUUAUAAAUUUUACCAUCCCCUUUUCAUUGCUUUCUUGCAAUAUCAAGCUUACUUUAUGUGUCAUAUAUGGGCAUAUGUAUGUAAUCAGAAUUCUCCAUUGAUUUUAUAUCCAUUAUAUAAAAUGGUAAAAAAUAAUUUCUUUUUGGUGUAUCCAUGGCAACAAUCUGCAUUUCUUUGUUAUAAAAUAUUGCAAUUGAUUUAUAUAAUAUAUAUAUAUAUAUUUCAUUUUUCAGUUAUAUUCCUGAUUUGGUACAGAUAUUUCCUUAUGUAGAAAAUAAUAGUUAUCUUAAUUAGUCAGCUAAACUUAUCACUUGUAUGCCUUAAAAGAGGGCAGAAAAAUACCAGGGUUAGAUUGUAUUCGUUUGCUUUAGUCAUUUUACUUAUUUUGAGGUGUAACUGGCGCGUUUAAUACAUCUAAUUACUUUUUUUUGUGUUUUCGCUAGUUUGUUGGUAUUUUGUUUUACUGGUACAAAUAAGCACAAAUCAUGCAUUUUGUUUGAAAGUGUUAAGUGAUUGUAGUAGUUUGCAAUUAUGUAUGAUGUAAUGUACUCUUAAAAAAAGAAUUUCAUUUUUGCGUUGCAGGAUGUAAACAAAUGCAACCACAUCCAAUAAGAUAUAUUGGAGUAGGUGAACUGCAAAAAGCUAGACACAAGAAUCCCUUGCACAUAUUCUUGCUCAAAUGGGAGUCAUUGACCUUAUAUCUACAUCCUGUUCGGAAAUUGCGAUUUUGAUCAAUUUAUUCAGCCAUCUGUUAAUUAGAUAAUUACCGCAAAUAACCUUGAUCGUGCAGAAAUGAUCCUGUUAGUACAUCAAGUUGAGGCUGUACCAUAUGUUCGUCGAAUAAAUUUGAUGCACUACGAAUUAAGUACGUUUAACGUUAAUACAUGUUUUCCCAAACAAGAUAAUUUGAAUGAAAAUUGUAUAUUACUACCAAAACUAUGUGAUUUCAGCUUGCAAAACACCCACUCCUGAAAAAUAACCGUUAAUUCAGGUGUGCGAAACAAUAAAGUUUGGAAGUCAAAAAUAUGAAUCAUCUAAGAAAAAAAAAGAAACCCAAAAUGACCUUAAUACCUGUAAAACAGGCAAACCUAUCUACGGUGCCCAAAAUGUGACAAAUGAAAAGUAUUAUUUUAAUUAUACCAAUAUUAAUUUAUCGUUUAAUGUUUAGUCUCAUUCGUCAUAACAACAACUAACAUGACUAAGAUAUUGAGAGAAGCGGAUACAACCGAGUUUAACUUAUUGCACUGAGUCUAGAACAUACAUAUUUGUCAUUAAGUGAUUAACACUGUAGAACUUAACAUACUGUAUAAAUAUCUGUCGAUCGUUGCAGACUUUAUGUUAAUGUUUAGAUGUUCUUUUGUUGUUUUAUUUGUCGGUUGUUUUAGACUAAUUAAAGAAUAUUCAGGA